rnacentral:lncRNA from 1 species
CUGCUCUCAUAGGCCAAAGUCAAGGUGCCAGUGGGCCGUGCUCUUGUCUGGGGCUCGAGGAAAGAACAUGCUUCAGGCUCACUGGGGGCUAGAGGACUUCUCCCUGUGGCUGAGGGACAGAGGCCCCACUCCCCUGUGGGCUGUCAGCUCAAGGCUGGCUGCAUCCGCCUUCUCAAAGCCAGCAAGGGCACCCUGAGUCCUCCUCACGCCGAGUCCUCUCUGCCACCCUCUUCCGCCUGCAUCCAGAGGACGCUCUCUGCUGUCAGGGCUCCCCCAGAAACCAGGAUAACCUCCCUCGUUUAAGGCCAACUGUCCAGAGAACAAUGUGCCUCAGGGCGGCCUCUCAUCACACUCAAGCUUCUGGGGAUCACAAAGAAAACAGCCGAUGAUGGCUCAUGAGGGUGUCUCAGGGAGGCCGUCGGGGCCCCUGCACCUUGAGUUGUUCUAAGGUUGCUGGAGCUGACACCCAGGUGAACGCGGCUGGGACGAAACAGUGGUGCCGAGGACGGCCAGGUGAGCAGCAGAGGACGAUGACAGGAAUUCUGAGUCCGCCUCAGUGAACAAAGCGGCGUGUGGCACACGGUCAUGCCACGAGCCUGAGAGCAGAUUGCAAAGCAAAGCGUGUAGUGCAAUCCAACUUUUGGAAAGAAAAAUAAAUCCUUUAUAUAUGACGGUGUAAUAAAGAAUUGAACCUUGCCCAGAGAGACCUGGCCUCUUCCCCCAGCUUCUGAGAGGUGGUCUCUAAGCCACAUGGGACGGUCUUGGUUUGCCUGGGCCUUUGGACCACACCAGGAGGCCUAAAGUGUGAUUCAGGUAGGGGUUGCGAUGAGCUCACCCUCGAGUGAGCUGGAGACCUCCAUCCGCAUGGGCAGUCAACCAUGGGGCCCCAGCAAAGGCUCUGGGACACUAAGCUCGGGGGAUCCCACCUGGAUGCCCCAAGUGACACUGCCCACAGCUCUGUGGGGAAGGACCCUCUGCAGGUGGGAACUUCCUGGACUCCGGCCUGAGCGCCUUUCCCUGGGUUGAUAGUCAUCUGUGUCCUACCCUUGUGCUAAGUCAUGACCAUGAGUAUAUCAGCUUUCAGUGAGUUUUUCUAGCGAAUUAUCAAAACUGAGGGUGGUCUUGGAGACCCCUACCCUUGUAACUGGUGAAGAAUUGAGGACAGUUUUGUAGAUUAUGGUUCCCUCUAGCCCUGCAAUGAUGUUGACUGUAAGUACAUUAAAGUAUUUGUUAGACACUGGAAAACGAUAUGCAAAAUGUAGGAAGUGGAUGCCUC